rnacentral:rRNA from 1 species
GAUUAACGCUGGCGGCGUGCAUAACACAUGCAAGUCGACCGAUGAAACUUAGUAGACUUCUUCGGAAAGACACUAAGCGGAUUAGUGGCGAACGGGUGAGUAACGCGUGAGUAACCUGCCUUACACAAGGGGAUAGCCUUUGGAAACGUAGAAUAAUACCCUAUAAAACCAUAAAAGCCCAUGCUAGAAUGGUCAAAGUGAUAGCGGUGUAAGAUGGACUUGCGUCUGAUUAGCUAGUUGGUGAGAUAAAAGCUCACCAAUGCAACGAUCAGUAGCCGGCUUGAGAGAGUGUACGGGCACAUAGGGACUGAGACACGGCCCAGACUCCUACGGGAUGCAGCAGUGGGGAAUUGUGCACAAUGAGGGGAACCCUGAUGCAGCGACGCAUCGUGAUUUAGAAGGCCUUCGGGUUGGAAAAAGCUUUUGUAUAGUAAGAAAAUGACAGUACUAUACGAAUAAGGUCCGGCUAAUUACGUG